rnacentral:rRNA from 1 species
GACAGAGGGUGCAAACGUUGCUCGGAAUCACUGGGCGUAAAGGGCGUGUAGGCGGGAAGGAAAGUCAGAUGUGAAAUCCCUGGGCUCAACCCAGGAACUGCAUUUGAAACUCCCUUUCUUGAGUGUCGGAGAGGUAAGCGGAAUUCCUGGUGUAGAGGUGAAAUUCGUAGAUAUCAGGAGGAACACCGGUGGCGAAGGCGGCUUUCUGGACGACAACUGACGCUGAGACGCGAAAGCAUGGGGAGCGAACAGG